rnacentral:snoRNA from 1 species
ACCCGGUUUGAUAACUGGAUGGCGAUUCAACAUUCCACUUGUGGAAUUACAUAUACUGCUGUCUUUUAAAAACCUCCGGAAUAUCGAAAUCAUUGAUUUACUUACACUGUGCUGGUCUUUUCUUUUUUAUUAGUUGUAUCCUUUGGAAAUAAUUGAUGGGAGAAAAAAAAUCUAGUGACCUUCAUUGUUUAUAUAAACUCAAACAUU